rnacentral:rRNA from 1 species
UACGGGGGGGGCAAGCGUUGUUCGGAAUUACUGGGCGUAAAGGGCGCGUAGGCGGCUUUUCAAGUCGGGCGUGAAAUCUCCAGGCUUAACCUGGAAGGGUCGUUCGAUACUGUUAAGCUAGAGUGUGGAAGAGGCUACUGGAAUUCCGUGUGUAGCGGCGAAAUGCGUAGAUAUACGGAGGAACACCUGCGGCGAAGGCGGGUAGCUGGGCCAACACUGACGCUGAUGCGCGAAAGCUAGGGGAGCAAACGGG